UCGGGAAUUUUGGGCAAUGGGCGAAAGCCUGACCCAGCAACGCCGCGUGAAGGAUGAAGUAUUUCGGUAUGUAAACUUCGAAAGAAUAGGAAGAAUAAAUGACGGUACUAUUUAUAAGGUCCGGCUAACUACGUGCCAGCAGCCGCGGUAAUACGUAGGGACCAAGCGUUGUUCGGAUUUACUGGGCGUAAAGGGCGCGUAGGCGGCAUGACAAGUCACUUGUGAAAUCUCUGGGCUUAACCCAGAACGGCCAAGUGAUAUUGCAGUGCUAGAGUGCAGAAGGGGCAAUCGGAAUUCUUGGUGUAGCGGUGAAAUGCGUAGAUAUCAAGAGGAACACCUGAGGUGAAGACGGGUUGCUGGGCUGACACUGACGCUGAGGCGCGAAAGCCAGGGGAGCAAA
rnacentral:rRNA from 1 species